CCUACGGGUGGCAGCAGUGGGGAAUAUUGCACAAUGGGGGAAACCCUGAUGCAGCGACGCCGCGUGGGUGAAGAAGUAUUUCGGUAUGUAAAGCUCUAUCAGCAGGGAAGAAACAGACGGUACCUGAGGAAGAAGCCCCGGCUAACUACGUGCCAGCAGCCGCGGUAAUACGUAGGGGGCAAGCGUUAUCCGGAUUUACUGGGCGUAAAGGGAGCGUAGGCGGGGAAGGAAGUCUGAAGUGAAAGCCCGCGGCUUAACCGCAGAACUGCUUUGGAAACUUUUUUGCUGGAGUACCGGAGAGGUAAGCGGAAUUCCUGGUGUAGCGGUAAAAUGCGUAGAGAUUAAGAGGAACACCAGUGGCGAAGGCGGCUUACUAGACGGUAACUGACGUUGAGGCUCGAAAGCGUGGGGAGCAAACAGGAUUAGAUACCCGUGUAGUC
rnacentral:rRNA from 1 species